rnacentral:rRNA from 1 species
GACGAACGCUGGCGGCGUGCUUAACACAUGCAAGUCGAACGGAAAGGCCUCUUUCGGGGGGUACUCGAGUGGCGAACGGGUGAGUAACACGUGAGUAACCUGCCCUUGACUUUGGGAUAACUUCAGGAAACUGGGGCUAAUACCGGAUAGGAGCUCCUGCUGCAUGGUGGGGGGUGGAAAGUUUCGGGGGUUGGGGAUGGACUCGCGGCUUAUCAGCUUGUUGGUGGGGUAGUGGCUUACCAAGGCUUUGACGGGUAGCCGGCCUGAGAGGGGGACCGGCCACAUUGGGACUGAGAUACGGCCCAGACUCCUACGGGAGGCAGCAGUGGGGAAUAUUGCACAAUGGGUGGAAGCCUGAUGCAGCAAAGCCGUGUGCGGGAUGACGGCCUUCGGGUUGUAAACCGCUUUCGCUCAUGACGAAGCUUUGUGUGACGGUAGUGGGUAAAGAAGCACCGGCUAACUACGUG